rnacentral:rRNA from 1 species
ACUACAUGUACAGGAUAGGUGGGAGGCUUUGAAACCAGGACGCCAGUUUUGGCGGAGCCAUCCUUGGGAUACCACCCUUGUAGUACUGGGACUCUAACCAUAGGCCAUGAAUCUGGUCUUGGGACACUGUCAGGUGGGCAGGUUGACUGGGGCGGUCGCCUCCCAAAAGGUAACGGAGGCGCUCAAAGGUUCUCUCAGUACGGUCGGAAAUCGUACGUAGAGUGUAAAGGCAAAAGAGAGCUUGAUUGCAAGACAUACAGGGCGAGCAAGGAUGAAAAUCGGACUUAGUGAUCCGGUGGUUCUGCG